UCAGCAUCAAAGCAAGCUGCAGCUGUAAACAGUAAUGGGCUGCUUUCUGGAAAAGGUGGAAUUGCUCCGAGACAAGGUCUCUGGCUCCCUGUUAGCCCGAGAGGCAGAGGCGAAGCUGAGCUCCUGCACCCCAGGCGAGAGAUAAAUCACCCCUCUCCCUCUGUCCUCCCACCGCUCCUGAGCUACGUCCUGCCGGGAUUGACACAUCUUCGCUCUUGUCUUUGGGUAGGAAGAACAGGCUGUAAUUCAAUCAAAUCAUCACACACAGGUGCCUCGAUGUGAAUGGAACCGACCUCACAGAAAGAAGCUUUUCCUGUGGCCUGGGCACCGCAGGGACUGGGAGCUCGGAUCAGAAUCUGAGUAAACUGUGAGAUGUCACAGGCCAGCAACGAGAGAAAAAUCCUGUGGGGUUUUCCGGAGACUGGUGACAAGAUGGCACGGGGAUGACCAACCCUGGGAACGUGAAGACAGACUCAGCUGCCAGCAACAACCGGUGCAGCAAGGUUUGGUGUUCAUGUUAAGCAAGGUCCAUGGCUGGGCUGGCAUUUGCCAUAUCCAAACAGAGGCUGCAGACCUGUGUGCCUGGUAGGGCUCAGCCUGUGAAACUCACAAGAGACCUCUAAGUCCCCACGAGCGCCGCCUGCAGUGCGAGCUGCAGAAUCCUGAGCCCCGUGGAGCAGGAAGGACCCCAAGCUUCGGCUCAGAGCAAGCCCAGAUGAGGCCAGCCAGACGUGUGCAAGAGGAAGGGAUUGCCACACCCCAUCCACAUGUGGAAGCCAGGUUCUACAGCACUGCUGCAGCAAGACCUGACGUGCCCUGAACCGAGUUCCCUCUGCCCACGCACAGGCUAGGUUGCCAGGAGGGCAGGGAGUGGUGUGGUGGGGAUCCUGGUCUGGCCUCUGUGCUUAAAGAAAUACCUCUAAGGUUUUAUUGAUCACUGAACAGCAUUUGCUUUCUAUGUCCUGCGGCUACAUUUUUCAGGUACAGGAUGUCUUCUUUAGUCUUAAUUUGAAAGAGGUUUUUUCUUUUUUUAAACAUGAAAGGAG
rnacentral:lncRNA from 1 species